GACGAACGCUGGCGGCGUGCCUAAUACAUGCAAGUAGAACGCUGAAGAGAGGAGCUUGCUCUUCUUGGAUUAGUUGCGAACGGGUGAGUAACGCGUAGGUAACCUGCCUUGUAGCGGGGGAUAACUAUUGGAAACGAUAGCUAAUACCGCAUAACAAUGGAUGACACAUGUCAUUUAUUUGAAAGGCGCAAUUGCUCUACUACAUGAUGGACCUGCGUUGUAUUAGCUAGUAGGUGAGGUAAUGGCUAACCUAGGCGACGGUACAUAGCCGACCGGAAAGGGGGAUAGGCCCACAUGGGACGGGAGCACGGGCCAGAACCCUGCGGGAGGGAGCAGGAGGGAAUCCUCGGGAAUGGGGGCAACGCGGAACGAGCAACGACGCGUGGGUGAAGAAGGUUGUCGAGUCGGAAAGAUGUGUUGUGAGUGAAGGACGAGAGGGAGAGUGGAAAGUGCACACUGUGACGGUAGCUUACCAGAAAGGGACGGCUAACUACGUG
rnacentral:rRNA from 1 species